UGGGGAAUAUUGGACAAUGGGGGCAACCCUGAUCCAGCAAUGCCGCGUGUGUAAAGAAGGUUUUCGGAUUGUAAAGCACUUUCGACGGGGACGAUGAUGACGGUACCCGUAGAAGAAGCCCCGGCUAACUUCGUGCCAGCAGCCGCGGUAAUACGAAGGGGGCUAGCGUUGCUCGGAAUGACUGGGCGUAAAGGGCGUGUAGGCGGUUUGUACAGUCAGAUGUGAAAUCCCCGGGCUUAACCUGGGAGCUGCAUUUGAUACGUGCAGACUAGAGUGUGAGAGAGGGUUGUGGAAUUCCCAGUGUAGAGGUGAAAUUCGUAGAUAUUGGGAAGAACACCGGUGGCGAAGGCGGCAACCUGGCUCAUAACUGACGCUGAGGCGCGAAAGCGUGGGGGAGCAAACAGGAUUAGAUACCCUGGUAGUCCACGCUGUAAACGAUGUGUGCUAGAUGUUGGGUAACUUAGUUAUUCAGUGUCGCAGUUAACGCGUUAAGCACACCGCCUGGGGAGUACGGCCGCAAGGUUGAAAAC
rnacentral:rRNA from 1 species